AAGUUUCAAGGCACAUUUUUUUUAGACUCCAGGAAGCUAUAUGCCUAAUUCUAUCCAUUGUUUACUGCAUUGCAUUUGAUUUUCUAUAACAAAUAAAAUUGAAUUCUCCAUUGAUUGCGCCGACGCUCACAUUAUAAUUAUAUGCUAUUAUUAUUGACUAGUCAUAUAUUUUCUUGGCGGGUGGGGGCUGCACUGGUGGCGUUCUACGAAUUUGCGCCGCGUGUUUGUGCGGGUAAGCUUAAGUGCAGAAUUUUUUUUGCGCGUUAUGAAAACAAUGCACUGCAGGUAUUUUAAUUAAUGCAACGAGCUGUAUGAAAUAUCGGUCAAGGGGUUGGAAACGUCGUUAUAGAGAAUCCCGACGAUUUUUCUUUUGCGUGUGUGUAUUUGGAGUUGAUUCACAGUUUUAUUUGUUUAUUUUGGCUACAUUGCGCCAAUUGCGCUUCCAUAGAAUAAAGAAACGCGCUUCCACGCGCUUGCCGACUCGAUCGCAAGGGGACAGCCUGAUCAACAUCAAUAUCAGCAGCAAUGGCGGAUUUGCGCUUGCCAUGGCGCUUGCAAAGUUUUCAAUAGUUUUCGACUAUUAAGUGAUGCUUUUGCUAUUUUAACGUGUGGAGGUUCAUUGUACGUCUGUUUUUUCAAGUUUGGCAUGUGUUUUAACACAUGUGAAGGUGUAGUCUUUUCUUAUUCAGCGGAUAUUUGUACAAGACCCCGUUCACCGUCUAUCAGCUCUAGCUCGGCAAGAAUAAAGCGGUUCCUUAGAAGUGGUGGAGGUGCUGGGGUUCUGCAUACCAAGGACGUAUAAGGUAACAGUGUUUGUGCCUUUAAUAUGUCUCAUUCGAUCAUUUUGAGACGUGGUGGUGUUCAUGCGUUAGCACAGUGCAUGGACAUCCACAAUGUAAGAGGUACAUGAUUCUCGAAUUGUAUACUCUCUCUGGGCUUUUCUCACGAUUUCAGCACAAGUACUGGGAGCAUCAAAAAACUGACAAAGCUGGUGCAUGAAUGUUGCCCAGUGUUGGUGUUCCUUGGUGUUGAAAUUAUCCUUCCUUUCUCUAAAUCCAAGGGCGAGAUCUUGCAUUCUGAAUGUUUGCUUGCGCUCUCAUUAUUCGCCUUCACCAUGCUUUCGUCAGCGGUCGUCUGCUUGGUGAAGUGGGAGCGCCUAUUGAACACUGCCUACUCACUGAUGUAGAAGGUGAAGCAAACAGUCAGAAAGCUAGAAGCUUGCACAAUCUCAUCCCAGGUUUUUAAUCCAGUUUGACAUUGAAGCAUCCUGGUAGUAUUAAAGUACUUUAGAAAGAGGUUCCAGAAGCAUUGCCAAGUUUGCCACUUAGUGAAAUUUGUAGUUUGGAAACAAUUUAGGCUCUUAGCAAGAUUAGUAGUGAACAGAGGUUUUCACAUGGCGAUUGGUGUUGUCCAAAUGCAUGAAGAGGUCACAGUACGAGUACUUAAGCUGAUAGUGUCGGGUAACCAUAAGCACCAGCAGGGGCCCCGUAACAGUGUCCCCUUUAACUUCAGAUAUGCUUCACUGCAUGAUGCUAAAUAUGCUUCGCCGCAUAACAUGACUCUGCUGCAGUGAAGGUGACUUAAACCAACAACAGCCGAGAAGGUGCAAACAGCACUGCGCUGCCUGGUUCUUGCUGUUGGCCUUUUCUUCUUUUCACAGUGUCCUUACUGUAAGUGCACUCCAGAGUUACAAUGCAGGAAUAUGCAUGUGUGCAUAAGCUUUCAUUCAAUAGUAGCUCAUGAUCAUAAGUUACGUCAUCAUGGUUUCGUACCAUGUCACGGCAUCAUAAGUGAGACAUAAUAAAGAAGCCCUCAAAGUCUGCGGGAGAGACUAAUCUUUUGUGCGAGAUUGUGCUAUCCUUGCUGCACGCAGUGCAAUAUUAUACGACUCUCAUGUCUAUGGUGGCAUUGUCGAUUAUGAAUGUUUCCUUACUGCGUUAAAAAAAUGUGAGUGCAUCUUUCAGAUAAUAAUGGCAUUAUAGCUUCAGAGUUGUUCAAGUUUGGGGUACUUGUUCACUAAAAGUACAUUAUCAGAAAAGCUUUAGAAUGUCUAGGUCAUAAUUGCAUUUGAAGAACUAAGUCUUCCUACACAUAGCAUUUGGUAGCUUACUGUGUAAUGUUGAAGGUGGUUUUUAUUCAUAGGCCCUACGCAGAGAGCAGCAACACAAUGCCUGGCAUGUGACCAGGGUUCGUCACAGUGUUUGCAUUUCCAGUGCUCGUAACUGAUUCCAAGCAUAAAUUUGCUUUAUAAUUCUUUGUAGACAGAAGGUGCUUGAAUAUUGGUUGCAUGAAAUGCUCCAAUGCACACUGUAUAUGUACAGGGUGUCUUUUAUUACCAUACAGAUUUUCUUGUUUUAAAGUUAUGAGCGCAGCAAAUGUGGCAUUCUUGCAGAGGAAUUCCUCUAUUUUGGAACUCCACAAAUUUGGAGGCAGUCACAUUUUAUAGCACUCUCAUGUCUUACAAAUCUUGAAAGUUGCACCUAAUUCAAGAUAUUCAUCAUUGAAUUUCACUGGUAAAUCGAGGCAAUAUUGGAACCGAGUGUGCUGGGAGCGCAGAAAAGAAGGUCCCGCUACCUCAUCAGAUGGAAACACCCCCGACAACAGGCUCGAGAAAGUCUGAAACAACAUCUUGGCCAGUCAUUGUGGCAGCUGAUACGACACACUUUGCCUGGCAAGCAUGUGCAUCAGUGUGCCGUGUCAGGCUAUCAUUUAAGCUUUGUCCCACACUUCUUGACAGGGCACUGCCGCCUGAUGUGGAGCAGGAUGCACCAAGUUUUGAUUGUACUCAAUUGAGCGCGAUAAUGAAUAUUUCAAAAUAAGUGCAAUUUUCGAGAUUUCGAAAAAGAAAGGGUGUGCGUUCACAUGUGACUGCCUCCAAAUAUGCCAUUUAGAAGGCUGCCGCCAAGUUACUAAUAAAAAAGUGACUGAAUUUUUCAAAAUUAAUUUUCUGAAACUCGCAUUAGCAGCAAAGUGUGUCCUCCUCACCUAGAAACUCCUUUGCAAGAACGACAGGCUCUCUGUGCUCAAAACUUUUUGCUAAAUAUCUGCAUGGUUAAAAAAAAACUAGAUAUGCAUAAUUGUUAAUGUAUGAAAAUCGUACACUAUCACUUUUCAAAAUUUUUGUCCUAUGCAACACCAGAAAAAUUGGAAAUAGAAGCUUCAGGUGACCUAUCUGAUGUGCAAGUUGCAUGGCCAUAUUAUUGUUUUAAUUUUUCGCUAUUACCCUUUACUGUGAUGUCGCCACUGCUGCAGCUCGAUGGCUGUGGCUUUUCAUUCCAGGUCACAAAGCUGCACCCAGGUAGAGGCAGAAUCCAAAAAUGCUUGUGUACUUAAGUAUAGCUGCACAUUACAGAAUCCGUAGCCCUCGUGUAGCCCACGAGUUCCAUAUUUUUUAUUGGGAUUGAAGAGUAACGUUUGUGCUGUAUCCUUCUAUUUCAGACUAAAUAAUGUGCAUGCAAAAUUAUAUCUUCAUUACUUUACACCAUUGCCCCAAUAUCUGUUGUGCGUUGAUUUUCUGAUGUCCUUGCAUUUGCUAUAGCAAGGAUUUUUAAAAAUCAGCCACAAAAGAAAAAAUAAAUGGUCAAGGAACAAAGUGGUGUGUAGCAGCUCCCUUUUUUUAAUCGGCAGCAAGUUUUGCACUCGUGUGUUAGCAACACUGUUUCGCCAGUUGCGUACUUCAAAAGAAGUGUUACCUUUCUGCUUUGGAACUUUGUGGUUUUGUUCUGCCAGCUGCUUGACCAACACAAGCAAAAUGUACUUUGGAUAUUCCACAAAUUCAUUCUGUAUGCAUUUGGUACAAUAAAAUUUGUUUCAAGAAUGGACAAA